rnacentral:tRNA from 1 species
GGGGCAUUAGCUCAUCUGGGAGAGCAUUACACUUGCAAUGUAAAGGUGAAGGGUUCAAGUCCCUUAUGCUCCA